GACCUAGUGGUGAAAGGAUCACACCUGCCUUGCAUGUUGUUAAAUUGUUUCGCGAAGAUGUUGGCAGGGGCUCCCGGUUCGACUCCGGGCUGGGUCG